AGCGAACGCUGGCGGCAGGCCUAACACAUGCAAGUCGAACGAACUCUUCGGAGUUAGUGGCGGACGGGUGAGUAACACGUGGGAACGUGCCUUUAGGUUCGGAAUAACUCAGGGAAACUUGUGCUAAUACCGAAUGUGCCCUUCGGGGGAAAGAUUUAUCGCCUUUAGAUCGGCCCGCGUCUGAUUAGCUAGUUGGUGGGGUAAUGGCUCACCAAGGCUACGAUCAGUAGCUGGUCUGAGAGGAUGACCAGCCACAUUGGGACUGAGACACGGCCCAAACGCCUACGGGAGGCAGCAGUGGGGAAUCUUGCGCAAUGGGCGAAAGCCUGACGCAGCCAUGCCGCGUGGAUGAUGAAGGUCUUAGGAUUGUAAAAUCCUUUCACCGGUGAAGAUAAUGACUGUAGCCGGAGAAGAAGCCCCGGCUAACUUCGUGCCAGCCGCCGCAGUAA
rnacentral:rRNA from 1 species